GGGGACGUCUGGCGGAACUGCCCGGUGGACAAACCGGAGGAAGGUGGGGAUGACGUCAAGUCCUCAUGGCCCUUAUGUCCAGGGCUACACACGUGCUACAAUGGUCGGUACAGAGUGACGCGAAGCCGCGAGGUGGAGCAAAUCGCAGAAAGCCGGCCUUAGUUCGGAUUGGAGUCUGAAACUCGACUCCAUGAAGGUGGAACCGCUAGUAAUCGCGCAUCAGCAUGGCGCGGUGAAUACGUUCCCGGGCCUU
rnacentral:rRNA from 1 species